CCUACGGGAGGCAGCAGUAAGGAAUAUUGGUCAAUGGACGAAAGUCUGAACCAGCCAUGCCGCGUGAAGGAUGAAGGCCCUCUGGGUUGUAAACUUCUUUUAUCUGGGACGAAAAAAGCUCAUUCUUGAGCACUUGACGGUACCAGAGGAAUAAGCACCGGCUAACUCCGUGCCAGCAGCCGCGGUAAUACGGAGGGUGCAAGCGUUAUCCGGAUUCACUGGGUUUAAAGGGUGCGUAGGUGGGUCUGUAAGUCAGUGGUGAAAUCUCCGAGCUUAACUCGGAAACUGCCAUUGAUACUAUAGGUCUUGAAUCAUCUGGAGGUAAGCGGAAUAUGUCAUGUAGCGGUGAAAUGCUUAGAUAUGACAUAGAACACCAAUUGCGAAGGCAGCUUGCUACGGGUGUAUUGACACUGAGGCACGAAAGCGUGGGGAUCAAACAGGAUUAGAUACCCUGGUAGUCCACGCCCUAAACGAUGGAUACUCGACAUCAGCGAUACACUGUUGGUUGUCGUGAGNGAAAGACGAUUAAGUAUCCUACCGUGGUUAGUUACGUACCGCGAGUAGAACGACAANAGAGUUAGAGGCGNGAGAGNGCGACGGACGACGACGAGGGAGGAGG
rnacentral:rRNA from 1 species